AGUAUAGAAGGCGCUCAAUAAAUAUUUGUUUAAUGAAUGAAUCAGUCAAGAAAGGGAUAUGGCCUCCUCUGGGUCUUGGUUAGUUCAUGCCCUUAGGGUCACCUGUGUGGUGUCAUAAGUGCUAAAAUCUUAAGCCACAAGGAAUAUGGAAUUUGUUCCCACCACCAUGAUCAUCUGUGAAAAGCCUACCCAAGGUUUUCCCUACCCCUUUCUGUAAAUAUUUCUUGAAUGAAUACACAUCAUGGGUGGGGGAUUUUUCCUCUUUUGGGGGAAGACACUUAUUUUCUUUCCUCGUUUAUUAUUUCAUACAGAUGUGUCCUCCGUGAUGUUUACCUCAACCUAACUCCCAUUUUUCAUUUUUUUUUUUUUUUUUGCCUUUGAGUCACACUCAACCCUGUGCCAGAGAACAAGGCUCUUCAGCUUUCUGAGGGCCACAUGUUUUUGAAAGGAGGUUGAGGAGUUCCUGAGGUGGAGCAGGAUUGAACCUGCAUCCUCAUGGAUACUAGUUGGGUUAAUUACCGCUGAGCCACAACGGGAACUCCUGGAAUCAUACGAUGAAAGCCAGAAACAAGAGCACAGACGUUAAUGGUUUUUUACAUUUGCACUGUACAACCCGCAGGCCACUUGGAAGAGCUUCAGGGGCCAUUAUGAAUGAGGCUUGAAAAGUCCUUGAAGAUCCACUGCUGAAAGGCGGGGGUUGGGAGUUGGAGGCCGUGUGAUGGGUAUAGAAAGGGACUGGGGCAGGGUGAGGAAGCUUGAGCUCGAAUUCUGACUUUGUUGCGGGAAAGAAAGAGCAUUUAUUGUGCCACUGCUACGCGCUACACUUUUUAUCUUGUUUAAUCCUAAUCACCAUCUUUGCUGGGUGGGUGUGAUUGUUCUUAAGAACGAGGAAACAGGUUUAGAAAGGUUAGGAAACCUACUUAAAUUAAGGUCCUACAGCUAAUAAAUGUCGGGGGUGCAUUUGAACCCUGAUCUGUGUAAUACUACUCAAAAGUUAUUGCUCAAUUGACCCUUUGGGGCCUCAUUAUGAAGUAUUGGGAUGAUCUCUGAGAGUCCCUCUGGGUCUCAAAUCCUAGAAAUUCGGUUUUAUCCUGUUCCUUUUGUUAUUGCUUAGCUCUGAAGAUUUAACUUAUCCCUUCUCACCCCUGGAUUGUGAACUGAUAAAGUGAUGUUCCCGCUUCUCCAUCUCCCAGGAGAGGGUGGUAGGAGGACCACUGAAGACCCAGAAACUCUGUUUUAGGCACUGUGUCAUCACAGCGUCUUAAAUCAUUGGGUGGUAGGGGCUGUCGACAUUUUAUUUUCACAGUACACGACCAGUGGGCGAAGAAUUACUGCUAUUUUACCAUUUAGUCCGUGCAACUUUUAACCCAUAGACCAAACUCUUAUCUCCAUGUGCUAGAACUAUUACCUUUACAAGAGGGGUUGAAGUGACCCGGCAAACUAAAGAAAAAGGGAGGAGUGGUUCGGUGUAUAAAACCUCGGGUAGGCUGACUGGUGUCAUCAGUGGACUCCAACAUUUAUAAUGGCUCAAACACAGUACACGUUUCUUUCUCGCUGGUGGGAAAGUACUGGGCACAUUAACACGUCAGCAGGGACCCCAGUUGAAAGAGGCUCUUUCAUCGCCUAUAUUCAGCUACCAAGGCCUUCCUGGGGGUUAUCUCCAUAGGACACGAUUGGAAGAGAAAAGAGCCUGGAGAGGUGCCACGUGGCACUGGAUGAGCCAGGCUAGGAACAGCACACGUCAUUUUCAUCCAGUUCCUUUGCCUGGCACUCAGUCACACGGCUGCACCGAAUGGCUAGGACUCUGACAGGACUGACCCUACGUAAUGGACAGAAGAACACACAUUUUCAGAGGAUGGCUAGCCCUCUGUCACACCCUGGACCAAGUUCAGAAGAGCUGCGUUCUGAUACUGGCUUUCCUUUUAAUGGGCUGGUAGUCUUGUCUUUUCUGUAAAAUGAGCGUGUUAAGCAGCUGAUGUCCAGCAGUUCUUUUUUCUUUAGAAUUCUAUGGCUUUAUGUUGCUCUAGGCAGCUAGUUCUUUGCCUGGAUUCAAUGUGAAAGUCGUGGGUUAAGGCAGCAAACCUUCUCUCAUGCUGAACUUCAUCCUGGCAAAACUGGGAGGGUGGUCGAGGGGCCCCGUGACUCCUCCCCUGGGGAAGUUAUUCUUCUUUGAGCUCAGUAGGCGUUGAUUCACCGGGUGUGGUUCACUUACCCCAGGGAUCUUCCAGCGGGGUGUGCAUGCGCCCUGAUGCGUGUGGAUUUCCCCAGGCGAGCAAGUGCUACAGAGUUUUAAGGGGAUCUUUACCUUCUAUGUGUUUAUAGGGCUCACGAAACUGAUCAAAGAGUAUCUACAGUUUUGUCAGUUCCCCUUUCUCCCCCUUUCACAAAGAAAGUUCUACUGCUUCCUCAUCUUGACGCUUGGAUAGUUCAUUGUUUCAAGUGUAAAAACCUCGAGGGCACCAAACAAAAUCGUUUUUUGAAAUAAUUGGCUUCACUUAUAUUCAAGAUGUUAGAAGUACUUCCUCUCUCUCAUUAAGAGACACAGUUCCAAUAAAAAUUUUUACUUUGUAUAUGUAAUAGUUACUUGUGAAAAUGUGUUUGUCUUUAUGUUAUUUUGAUCAAUUAUAUACUAGUUAUAAUUGAAAAUACAACAAAUAGUGCUUAACUUAAAGCUUUAUAGUCACUGAAAUUUGAAAAAUUAUCUUUUAUUUACAUACAAAAUCCUUUUAAAUUUAACGCUGUUUUAAUUAGACAAAAUUGUAUGGCAAAGGUGAAACAGAAGCGCAAUUUCAAGGAGCUAAAGAAAUGAUUAUGUGCUCAGAGAGAGUGAUGACUUUGACAGAUUCUGUCCUCAUGGAUUAAUGUACUAGUGAGAGAGACAGAAUGUAAACAAAUAAAUUCGUAAAUGGGCAAGAUAAUUUCACAUCAUGAUAGAUGCCAUGAAGAAAGUAAACAGGGUGGUCGUGGAAACCCUCAGAGGAUGUGACAUUUAGUGUGGGCACAAAAGUGGUUUCUCCAUUUACUUUUCUCUUUUGUCUUUUCUGGGGCAUAUGGAGGGUCCCAGGCUAGGGGUCUAGUCAGAGCUGUAGCCGCCAGCCUACGCCAGAGCCACAGCAACGCCAGAUCUGAGCUGCAUCUGUGACCUACAGCACAGCUCAUGGCCAUGCCGUAUCCUUAAUCCACUGAACGAGACCAAGGAUCGAACCCGAAACCUCAUGGUUCCUCGUCGGAUUCAUUUUCCCUGCGUCACGAUGGGAACUCCAGUGGUCUCCCCUUUUGAACAAAUAGAGCCCCUCAGUUGGGGACAGGGAAAGGUUGGGAAGGGGAGCAGAACUUAUUUCUGUUAAAGAAGAUCUGAUUCAUAUAUGUAUAUAUUAUAUAUAUUUUUUCACCUAUCCAUUUCUGUUAAUAAUCUUUGAACUUCUGAUUUCGUGUGACUUCACAUAUUUGAUAAUAUUUAAUUCAGUUUGGAAUAUCAGUUCCUUUUUUUCUGUUUUAUGGUUGGUUUUGUGGGAAAUUUAUCAUGAGCUCAAAAGUUCCGAUUCUCAUUUUCUAUUUUUUUCCUAGACAGCUUUGUGUAGAUUAAACGGCUUGCAUCUCUGUGUUGCAUGAACAGAGUUAGCAUUUGGGGUGGUUUGCCAGAUGCCUAGUUCAAGAAUGUCCUCCCUCAGUCAGUGUAGCAUUCCUUCUGUUCAUUCCUUCGUUCCUUCCUCUCUCUCUCUCUCUUCCUUCCUUCCUCUUUUUUUUUUUUUUUUUU
rnacentral:lncRNA from 1 species